GAUGAACGCUGGCGGCGUGCCUAAUACAUGCAAGUCGAGCGAACAGAUAAGGAGCUUGCUCCUUUGACGUUAGCGGCGGACGGGUGAGUAACACGUGGGUAACCUACCUAUAAGACUGGGAUAACUUCGGGAAACCGGAGCUAAUACCGGAUAACAUUUGGAACCGCAUGGUUCUAAAGUGAAAGAUGGUUUUGCUAUCACUUAUAGAUGGACCCGCGCCGUAUUAGCUAGUUGGUAAGGUAACGGCUUACCAAGGCGACGAUACGUAGCCGACCUGAGAGGGUGAUCGGCCACACUGGGACUGAGACACGGUCCAGACUCCUACGGGAGGCAGCAGUAGGGAAUCUUCCGCAAUGGGCGAAAGCCUGACGGAGCAACGCCGCGUGAGUGAAGAAGGGUUUCGGCUCGUAAAACUCUGUGAUUAGGGAAGAAAAAGUGUGUGAGUAACUGUGCACGUCUUGACGGUACCUGAUCAAGAAGCCACGGCUAACUACGUG
rnacentral:rRNA from 1 species